rnacentral:miRNA from 1 species
CAUGGGUAUGAUACGACCUC